GCAAUUUUUUAAAAAUCGUGAGUAAUUUUCUAAAAUUAGUACUUUCCGCUCCUAUAAUUUGGUAGAGUUUAUAUUGUGGGACCUAGUGUAGCAAAGUGAACUGACCAUCAUCUCAGAAUUUAUGCUUGCAUAAUUCUAUCGUAAAGCAAAGUUUAAAAACAUGUGAUAUGACCCGUCCCGAAUCAGCCUAGUGGACCCGAAACGUGACGUGCACUAAUAAUAAUACUGACUAGAUGUCAAAUCUAUCACCAAGGCUGACUAUGAGUUGGUACAAAAAUGCGCCAAAAUCAAAUACUUGUACAAAAUACUAGUUUUUGUCCGUGUAAUCACAGGCUCGGAUAUUUUGAGCCAAUGUUAAUGUGUUCAAUAUUAGGAUUGACGAGUGAUAUCUACGUUGAUUAAGCAAAGGUUGAUGGACAAAUGUAGAUGUGUUAGGGUUUCGUAUUGUAUUUUAGACAACAAAUAUAUGACACUUAACUUUUCAAAAAGAUUGCAUAUGAAAUCCAGAAACCAAUGUGGCAAAGAAAGAUUUUUUAGCAGCGUUCCAUUAAUAAUAGUGUGUAAUAGUAAUUAUAAGAUCCAAAUACAUUUAAGAACUAUAAAAGCAGUUAAUGGGUAGACCUUAAAGCGAAGAGGGAGGGAUAAAAGGAUAAAGUGACAAACCUACUUAGUAGUAAAGAAACUCAAAAAAAUGCAAGAGUUGAAGCCGAGGUCAUCAACCCCCUUACACAGUCGUAACCAAGUCCAUGCACAGUAUAAGCACUAUCUCAAAAGCUUCUAGAUAGAUUCAAAUUAUUUUCAUUUUCCAGUGAUCAGUGAUCAGCUGCCAUUUCUGCAAGUGAACAAAAAGUGAAAUCAACUAAGUAAACUGUACAAUAUGAAAAUUAAAAAUAGAGGCUACACACUAAGAUCUAAUGAUAAACGGUAAGAAAAAAAAGAUUAAGAGCCUUCAUUAGAUAAUCAAUAGAAGAAGGAAACGGUAAGUCAUAAGUGCCAUAUAUGCACAUGGACGAUAUGGAUUUCCAAGUUGGAUCAAGAUAACUUAUAUAAUGACUUCAGUACAAGGAUGUUGAGUAAACAAACAUCUAUGAAGCAAGCAUAUAAAGUUAAAAUACAUAAUUACAUCAAAGUUUCUAGCACAUUAAACCUACUAAUUCUUAUAGCAUGAUCAACCACAGUCAUCCAUUUCCAUCCCAACCAUCGUCAAUAAUAUUUACAAGAAUAUUCAAGCGCAGAUUCAUCUACUAAUAACUACCAGAGAAACAUGAACCCAAUUUGAUAACUAAAAAUAGAAACCCAUUCUGAUAAAUGUCGUAUCUGAGUUAUUAAUGGGUUGUAGUCAGAUAAAUAAAAAGCAUGGAAAUAAGAAAAUAAAGACUCACCCAUUUGGCAUAUUGUGCUUCAUCUCUUUCAUGGUAAAGAGACCUGCUGUAGACGAGACCUUAGGUGACAAACUUCGACAUCGAGGAGAAGAUCGCGAGGAUUGCGACUCUUGAUUCAAUUAACAGCGUUAUUCAAACACUGAGUUAAAAAUAACGGUUGAGAUUGUUCUUUAUUCUUUGCCAAAAACCAAAAACCUAGCAACCUAAUAUAUAUUACCUUCUACUAUAGCUUGGGCUUCAGCAAUAUCUAGGGAGAGUAUGACCCUUAUGCCUUUCAGAACCUCAACAGUUCCUGCACUCACGGGCAAAAUGGUCAUGCUCACCACACUCAUAGCAUUUUGAGUCAGAACCAGAAUGACCAUGCCCUCCACCAUAGCCACCACCACCAUUUUCACCCCUAGAAUUUCGAGAAAGCUCUACUCUCCGGCCAUUAUUACCUGUUCCAAUAAGGAUAUGACUUCUGGCAUAUUACAUAAGAAAUUUAACAUCACAAUGUUAAUUGAAGAAAAUUCAACUUAACAAGAUAACAUAUAAAAAAAUUCAGCACUUUUAACACUUUCAUUACAAAAAAAUGAAAAAUAAACAAAUGAAGAAUACAUUCUUCCAUGUGUAUGCAAAUCAAAAUUACUUGCCUGCUCAAGGCGACCUCGCCGGCGGCAGCAGCAGAGUUGAGGACUGGAAGCACAAAAAGUUCAUAAUUAAUUAUAGUAGAGUGGAGGAAAAUGGACAAAACUAUGCAUUGUAGGUAACAUGUGCAGAUUGUCAACUACUACCUUUCUCUCCCUUACCCUCUAGGGCCUCUACUCCAAAUGCAGAAGUUGUAAAUUCUUCAUCCAGUUAUGUCAAAUAAAAGUGGCUUUGAUCUAUUUUAAGUGACAAAAGCUAUUGCAAACAGACAUAAAUACGUUUCAAGCAUUAUGCUUGAGUUCACGAAAUUCCAUCUCAAAAUUGAAAUUUGUUAAAAAAAAAAAAAAAAAAAAAAAAAAAAAAAAAAAAAAGGGGGGGAAAAACAAAUUUAUUUGUUGAAAAAAAAAAAAAGGUGUAAACCAGUUUAAACACACCUCAGAUGAGCUUUUGAGAGCUCCCAAUAACAGAAGUCGCAAUGCUUGGCCAAUUACGCCACAUCCUUAGCCUUCCACAUCGAUGAAGCCACUAACAACUAUAAGUCAGCGGCCCUGGUUGAGUCGACAUGAGCCCAAAUUUUAUGCUCCCAAGACCCAAAUCGGACCACCUACCGGAUCGGCUGUCAAUGUGGAAUGUAGGCUUGUGGAAUUAGAUCGGCUAGGAAGGCCACGAUAAGAAGGUUUUGAGGAAGUGGGGAACAAGAAGUGGAGUUAAUAAUUCGAAUUGGAAUGGGCGAGUUUGGAUGAAAAACUCAGCGAAUUUCUCCACAUGGCCGAGUGAGAAAGAGCGAGUUUGCCCUAUAGGAAGUUAUGAAGUUUUGAUAGAGUUUUCGAUUACUGGGCCGAUUAAUAUGAGAUGGAGAAGAUUCAGCGUCUGAGUGCCAAAGAUCACGCCUCCAACACCGCUUCCGUUAGCAGGGGAGUUUCUUCUUCUUAUGGUUUCGCAGGGAUCUGAGAGUUUUGAGAAGUGGUGGGUGUAGUGUAGAUUUCUUUGGCGGUCGAGAGCACUGUAGAAGAACCAGUUUGAUGAACAGGUUGUGAAAACUCUGUGUGACAUAAAUCAAUAGUGAACCCCAAAGCCCUCUUAUAGGAGAAAGAAGUUGAUGCAAUGGCCCAAAAUAUUUAUUUCAUAUUUCAUCAAUAUGAAUCAUAACGUUCAAUAUAUUAAGUGGCUAUUACUUUGAAAUCAUUAAGCUCUUUCAAUUUAAUUUUAACAAUGAAAGCAGACACACAAUAUACAUUUGGUUAUGGAAAAUAAGGAUGGCAACAGAUCAGAUCAGGGUCAAAGCAGACAAUCUCUUUUACACUCUAUAAAAGUAUUUUAUCUCCUUGUCCCGCCCCAUAAC
rnacentral:lncRNA from 1 species